ensembl:lncRNA
UCUGGGAGGUAAGUAAAAAUACACUCAUUUAACCAGUGAAGAACUUCAGAGGUAAAGUUACCUCCCCCAAGUCAAAGCAAAUUAUAUAAUCAUCCUUUAUAUAUUCAAGGAAAACCAAGUGCAUCCUGACCAAUUGUCCCUAAAGGGACUUACUGUAUAUGGACCAGAUAUAAUUAGGCCUUAGGCUGACAUCACAAAAAUAGGACAAUUUGUAGCUCAUGUAUUCCACUCUGGCAAGCAGCCCAGUUUCAAUCCAGAUGGCCCCACCAAUGACUCACCUUGUACUUUUCACUUCAGAGGCUGGUCUUGUUUAGCAUACCACCCUUUACCUAGGGUUAAGAGAAACCAUGAGUCAGAACUGCUUGAGUCAUUGGGCUCCACCUGCUCCCAUAUCUUCCUUCUGCUAGCCCUCCAAAGAGACCUCAAACUGCCAUUACCUUCUUGAGGUCAUGUGUUGUCUCUAGAAGUGUUUGUGCAGCAGUUCACAACUCAAUAAAAAAUGAGGUUAACAACAACAACAAAAACAUGCACCUCAUGUGUGGACCUUACUCACUACCUCUACCGCCUACUUUAUCAAUUAUCAGAAUUAGAGAUCGUAAUAUGUUCAGCAUCCCAAAUGUGAAACUUUGGUAUUACUAUGUUCGGCAUUCCAAAUCUGAAACUUUGGUAUUACUAUAUUUGCAAGUUCCUCUCUUACCUUGCAGAAUUCUCUACCCCAGAAAUGUCUCAGUUCCUUUAUCUCCUCUUGCCUUAUUUACCACUCAAGUUGGGAGCCAGCACAAUUUAACGGGACUUUAUAACUUCCAAUCCAUCCUCCAAUACUGCCACUAGAGUUACCGUUCUAAAAGGCAAAGACAGUCAUAGCAAUCCUUUUAUUUCAAAACUUAUUAGCCCCUAGGACUUCCCUGGUGGUCCAGUGGUUAAGAUUCAGCCUGCCAGUGCAAGGGACAUGGGAUCAAUCCGUGGUCCAGGAAGAUUCUGCCUACCUGGGAACAACUAAGCCUGUGUGCCACAACUACUGAAGCCUGAGCACCCUAGAACCUGUGCACCCCAACUAGGGAGUAGCCCCUGCUCACCCAAGUAGAGAAAGCCUGAGCCCAACAAUGAAGACCCAGC